rfam:Parcubacteria bacterium GW2011_GWA2_47_64 TY03_C0017, whole genome shotgun sequence.
GGAGGGGUCGGAUAAUGGUUAUUCCACUGGUCUUGAAAACCAGCGUCCGCAAGGACUUGUGAGUUCGAGUCUCACCCCCUCCG